GCAUCAGUAGUUCAGAGGCAGAACGUCGGUCUUGUAAGCCGAAUGUCGGAGGUUUAAAUCCCCCCUUAUGCU
rnacentral:tRNA from 1 species